GUAAGUACAGCAAUGUAUUGAGCUAACUGAUACUAAUGAUCCGAGAGGCUUGACCAUAUAACCUCA
rnacentral:rRNA from 1 species